AAUAAACAAAAUCAAUUCAACUUCACAGUGUUUCAUUAAUAAAUAGAACAAAGGAAUUGUUCAGAAAUUAGCAUUAAAUUGAAAGUUAUGCAAUUUAAGCAAUGGUCGAAGAAAAUACCGUAAAUCGACUUGUAAUUGGGCAAUUAAAAAAUCAUCAGUCAUGCCAAAUUUUGUCUUUCAAUUUAAUUGAUAAGAUAAAGUAAUUUGUGCAUUAAAGGGCAUUUUUAAGAAUAAUUCAGUGUAUGGAAGUGAUUGUGAAUGCUAUCGAAGGCAAAGGAACAUCACCUGAAGGGGAAAACUCAGGAAAAGGGAAUUUCAUCAACUCCAGAGAACAAAGGAAAUUUUUGGCCAAUCUAGCCGGAAACCUUGCAAUCCACAGGUGUGUGAUCAACUUCUUCUAUUUUCUUCCUUUGAGAUCAAUACAUUAAUUGUCUCUGGAUAUUCCACCAGAUUUCCACAUAAGCCUCAGAUUAUUCGGGAGGAUCAUCUUCCUACAUUCAUUCUUUGAAAUUAGAGUGUCCUUCACAACAAUUUCCAGCAUAUGUGAUCUACCCUUUAGAUGUGGCAAAAUCCGGGGAAUGAAACUUUUAUCCACGUCUGUGCAUCCCGUAAUGUCGAUGAAUCGAAUGGAUUUAAAUUUCUGGAUCAGAUACGUAAGACCGCUGGAAGUAAUGCUCUUAGCACGCGGUAAGGCCAAAUGAAGCUCCUGUAGAGUCUCAGUGCAGGGAAUGUAGCUCAAUAUGGUGUCGUCGAUAUAAAUUUGGCUGAUGUCCAGCUUCUUGAUGCCCGUCAAGUUUCUAAGAACAUUGGGCAGUACCCCACAAUUGAGUUGCCUAAUGCUCAAGUGCUCCAAUCGAUUGCGUGACGUGAUUUCCAGAAGGAAUUGGUCUAAAUCGAACGAUUCUACUAGCAUAAUUUCCAAAUGUGUGAUCUUCGAUAAUUUCGCCAGCUCAAGAAAAUCUUCCUUCGUUAUAUUUGGGUAAUAGCUGGAAACUGUGAGUUUUUCCAAGUUCUUCAAGUUUGCUGCAACGGCCUGGAUGCACGUCCUAUCUAGUGAAGUACAGCGCCCAAUGUGUAGGGCUCUCAGUUGAGGAUUUGCAACACAAAAUUUCUUAAACAAUCUAGGAUUCAAUCGGCCGCAAUUAUACAGAUUAAUCUUCUGAAUAUCCUGCAGUUCUCUGAAAAACCUUCCUUCAAUAUAAACAUUCCCGGAUAAAUCGAGUGCUUCCAAUUGAUUGAUCUUGAGCACAUACAACAAGAGUCUGUCAUUUAAACAUCUAAUUUUUGCAACUUUAACCUCUCUGCAAACCAUUGAGAGAUCAUGCGUGAAUGUUCUAUCCAUAAAAAAAAACGGAUAAAAGUCUAAAUCAAUGGUCUGCAAAUUCUUGAAGAAGACAAUGAAUUUCGGUAUAUAUGGGCCGCUCUUGCAAAAUGGUAAGGAAUGGAGUUUCAGCGUGUGGGCGUAUUGGCCAACCCGUCGAGCAAUAUUUGUAGCUUCCGGUAGUUGAGGCUGAGUUGAAUAAUACUUGUCCAAAUGAAUCGGUCCGCCGAAUGAAGUGUAGUCCAGCACCCGGAUGCUUCUGUACGUCAUCAUGGCGGUUUCUUUGAACCACUUGCAAACUUUUUCCAUCAUAAGCAGCUCCCGUGCGUUGAGGAAGCUGAAGAUGAGGCACAGACAAUCAGUGUUCAAGGAAUACAUUGAGUUUCUCCGCUCCAAUCUACGCCUCUUGCUGGAUCGUGUCUCCAUUCUGACGGCUUAAACUGUGGAAAACAUAAGGCAGUUUGUAAAAUCUUCAUACGUCUCAAAGAAAAAAGAAAGCAGAAUUAAUACUAACCUCCAAAGUAAUCAGAAAAAAUACUUUUUCUCUCCAAUAAGAACGAAGUAUCGUAGAAAUCCUUUUUGCGACUUCCGCACCUUAGUUUAAUUAAUCAAAUUCCACCCAAAAACUUUAAUAAAAGGGAAUUUAAACCAAUUAAUUUGAUGAAAAUGUUGAAAAUGCUUUAGGACGCGAACGCACGAACUCAAAAUUGCCAACUGAAAAAUUUGUUUGAUAGGGGAAGAUGGGGUGAACUGGGUGAUUUUCGUAUAACUAUUAUUUUUCGAUUAUAAUGUCCAAAGUUAUUUUUGUACUAAAUUGUCAUAAAAGUUUUGUAAUAAAUUUUUUUUAAAGA